AAACACAAGGGCAAUCUGACUGCCACAUCUGUCACCCCAUUGAUCACCAGGGUUGAUUUGACUGAUCUGGCUGGCUAGGCUGGUGUCCCCUUCCUCCCUCAUGGAUCCAUGUGCAUCUCUCCUGAAGUUGCGCGCUUGGUUAAAGAGGACAACCUUCCCCAAAUAGAGCAGGGCUGGUCUUUGGUUAAGAGUAGGUGCGCUUCCCUGCUAGAACCUCCAAGCAUAAAUUCUUAAUGAAAAUUUACCAUUACAACUAGUGUGUCCAAUGGCUCCACUUAUGGCCAUCUUU
ensembl:misc_RNA 7SK 7SK RNA